UAUGACCACAAGGGGAGCCGAUUAAGUCGGCUGAGAUUGUACACUCGUUGUACUGACUCUUUGAACCUGUAAGUUAAAGCUUGCGUAGGGAUGUGGAUAGAAACCGAC
rnacentral:ncRNA from 2 species